rnacentral:rRNA from 1 species
GACGAACGCUGGCGGCGUGCUUAACACAUGCAAGUCGAACGGUGAUCCGCUUUCGGGCGGUGAUCAGUGGCGAACGGGUGAGUAACACGUGGGCAAUCUGCCCCUCACUUCGGGAUAACUCCGGGAAACCGGGGCUAAUACCGGAUAUCAUCCCUCGGGGCAUCCUGGGGGGUUGAAAGGGUUUACUGGUGAGGGAUGAGCCCGCGGCCUAUCAGCUAGUUGGUGGGGUAGUGGCCUACCAAGGCGACGACGGGUAGCCGGCCUGAGAGGGCGACCGGCCAGAAUGGGACUGAGACACGGCCCAGACUCCUACGGGAGGCAGCAGUGGGGAAUAUUGCGCAAUGGGCGGAAGCCUGACGCAGCAACGCCGCGUGGGGGAACGAAGGCCUUAGGGUUGUAAACCUCUUUCAGCAGGGACGAAGCGUGAGUGACGGUACCUGCAGAAGAAGCACCGGCUAACUACGUGCCAGCCGCCGCAGUAAAAC